rnacentral:rRNA from 1 species
ACAUACGACCACAGGGUGUGGAAAACAGGGCUUCCCGUCCGCUCAGCCGUACUUAAGCCACACGCCGGGAGGUUAGUAGUUGGGUGGGUGACC